rnacentral:lncRNA from 1 species
AGACAGGUCCAGAUGUCACUGGGGCUGCAGGCAUCUGAAAGCUGGAUGAGGACUCUGAUUCCCAGAUAUGGCGCUGGCAGGCGGCCUCUCGCCCCAGCAUGGGGAUCCUCCACAGGAUGCGAGACUUCCUCUAGGAAACCAUGUGGAACUCCUUGCCUGAUGCGUAGCUGAGGGCACCUGCUGAUCAAGCCCCCAGUGUGUUCCUUGUGCAUGGCUGGGAGUCCUGGCAAGCCAUGGUGAGGAUGAGCACUUUGGGGGUGAACCACAUGAAUGAGGACAGCAUCCCAGAAGAGUGGAGGUUCAAGACGAAAGAAACCCCAAGGUUUGCGGACCUCACGCAGCAAGAGCAUUUAUACCAGUUUUUCGACAACCGAACACACUGGCACAUGCAGUCGUGCUCAGCUUACACUGUGAGAAAAGCAGCCUUCCUCUGAGAGGGAGUCAGAAUGGAAAGGUGCCUGCCACACCCACAAGGAGGCUCUGACUCAAAUUUCCAGACCUCUCAGAGAAACUUCUGGAACUCAGGAUGGCCUGAAACUGAGACUAAGGGAGUGUUGAUCCAUUUAUUAAAUAUCAGGUAAGCCUUUCUUAAAUUUCUAGGUUAUUAAAAAGACUCAUAAUAUUUUUACACCUCAUCCAAAGGAUCGUAUUACUCAUUUCCUGUGGGAGACAAGAUAGAGGCACUUCUAUGGGAUAAGCUGAGAGAUGCCUGCCCCACCCGCA